rnacentral:rRNA from 1 species
AUUCCAGCUCCAAUAGCGUAUAUUAAAGUUGUUGCAGUUAAAAAGCUCGUAGUUGGAUUUCUGGUUUGAUGCCCUGGCCCGCUUCAAAUUUUGGAGUGUGUGCCGGCUGUGCGUCUGCCAUCCUUCUAGAAAACGUUCGUACCCUUCACUGGGCCGCGUUCGAGAUCUAGAUCUUUUACUUUGAAAAAAUUAGAGUGUUUAAAGCAGGCAGUUGCUAUGAAUACAUUAGCAUGGAAUAAUAAUCUAGGACUUCGGUUCUAUUUUGUUGGUUUCUAGUACUGAAGUAAUGAUUAAUAGGGACAGUUGGGGGCAUUCAUAUUCCAUUGUCAGAGGUGAAAUUCUCAGACCAGCGGAAGACGAACCACUGCGAAAGCAUUUGCCAAGGAUGUUUUCAUUG